CCAUAGCCCAGAUCGCAACGGCAUCCUUUUUAUCCAACUUUUUCUGUUGGAUAAAAAGAUAUAGUGUAGAGCUGGAUUAGCU
rfam:Flavobacterium cauense R2A-7 FCR2A7T_12, whole genome shotgun sequence.